AGCUACAGCAAUACCACCCUGAACAUGUCCAAUCUCAUCUGAUCUCAGAAGCUAAACAGGGUCAGGCCAAGUUAGUACUUGGAUGGGAAACUGCCUGGGAAUACUGAGUGCUGUAGCUU
ensembl:rRNA 5S_rRNA 5S ribosomal RNA